rnacentral:rRNA from 1 species
CAACUCUCAACAACGGAUAUCUUGGCUCCCGUAUCGAUGAAGAACGCAGCGAAAUGCGAUACGUAGUGUGAAUUGCAGAAUUCCGUGAACCAUCGAAUCUUUGAACGCAACUUGCGCCCGAGGCUUCGGCCAAAGGCAUGUCUGCCUCAGCGUCGGCUC